rnacentral:lncRNA from 1 species
UAAAUUGUAAUUACUGAAUUUUGUCCGGGAUUAAUUUCGUGUUAAAAAAAAAGAAUUUUUAAAUUUUUUUUUGCAUUUUAACCCCUGUACUUUUCACAAUUUACAUUUUGACCCCAAACUUUCUAAAAUUUACAUUUUGACCCUAAAACUUUCUAAAAUUACAUUUCGACCCUUAGACUUUCUCAAAAUUUCACUUUAACCCCUAAACUCUUAAUAAAUUACAUUUUGGCCCAUAUUUUUGCUAAAAUUACACUUUUGCCCCAAAAGCUUUGCAUCCUAUGCAAUUAGUCCUUCUGGACUUGUCUAAUCGCCGCUGCAGCAGCCGAACGCACCCCUCCCAGCCGAGCUACUCCAGCAGCCCCCCCUAGGCCAUCAUGGCUCAUCUGCCACCUGCAAACAAUGAGAAAGAGGACAAAAUUUGGAGCUUUUAAAAGGAAAGGAUUGAAGAGAAAUGGGGGGUUUUUCAUUUUCGGCAACCAAAAAGCAAAAAAAAAGGAGAGAAAAAAAUCAAGCAGCAGCAAGCAAAAGCCCUCACCACCGUCGUUCAACCACCGCCACCGUUGUCGUUCCCUUGCCCCCACCACCUGAAAAGUCGCAAGCAACCAAAUAGAAAAGCAAAGCAAACAAAAGAGUAGCAAAAAAAAACAAAAGAAUAACUUCAAAAAAACCCGCCGCUCCUUCGCCGCCACCGUGCUCGCCGGCCCGCCCUUACAUUCCCACCACCGUCGCACCUCCACAAAUAAGCAGACAAAGACAGAAAAAACAGCAAGCAAAAGAAGUAAAAUAGGUAACUGAAGAGAAAAAAGAAGAGAAGAAACAGAAAGAUGAAAGGCAAAAGAGAGAAAAAGAUAAAAUAAAGAAAAAAUGUAAAAACAGCAGCCCAUUUUUUUGGUAGGCCACCAGCAGCCCACCACCAGUGGACCCGACCCAGCGCAGGCCCAACACCACUGACGGCCCACUAAGCCUCAAUUUGCAGCAAAAAAAGAGGAAAAAGGGCUUGUCUUCCAAGACUUUGG